GCAAACUUGGUCAUUUAGAGGAAGUAAAAGUCGUAACAAGGUUUCCGUAGGUGAACCUGCGGAAGGAUCAUUACGAAAUUACAACUCUUUGCAGCAGGAUUUACCUCCUGUGCGCGAAGUUUUAACCCUUGUGGAACAAAACCCUUUCGCUUCGGCAGCCUAUGCCACCCAUGUGGUGUGUGUUGUAAGCCUGCCGGUAGCACCUGUUUUAAUCGAGCUUCAAAUUGGCGUCUGAAAACCAUUUUCGAAUGAAAAUAUCAAAACUUUCAACAACGGAUCUCUUGGUUCUCGCAUCGAUGAAGAACGCAGC
rnacentral:misc_RNA from 1 species